CCUGGCCAAGGGGGAAAGGAAGGUUUGCAUUUCCGUCUAAAGCAUCUGUUCCAAGUCUCAUCCUGGAUACAGCCACAUCCACACCAGCCCAGUCUAACGCGCCCUAAUACACAGCGAGCAGGCCUGGGCCACAGCCCAGUGUGGGCCGCCCUAAUACACAGCGAGCAGGCCUGGGCCACAGCCCAGUGUGGGCCACUGCUCCCUCGUCCAUCCCAACUGUCCUGGUCAGUUUAGUUUGUUUUUCUAACUCUCACACACUAGAAUCAUCUGGGAAGGAGAUUCUCAGUGAGAAAACACCUCCAUAGGUGGGCCUAUAGGCAGGUCGGUAGGGAAUUUUCUUGGUUAAUGACUACCAUGAAGGACCCAGUCCACUGUGGAUGGUGCUACCCUCAGGUGGGUGUGUGGCCCCAAGUUGUAAGAGGAAGCCAGUCGUGAGGAGCAAGUGGGCGAGCAGCGUCGCUCCAUUGGCCUCUGCUUCUGUCCCUGGCCCCCUCAGAGACAGACUGCCCUGAGAGCUGUGAGCCCAAUAAACCCUUUCCUCUCCAGCUGCUUUAGCUCAUGUGUUCCGUCACACAGAACCCUAAAAGAUACAACCUACAGCACACAGCAGUGCUUUGGGGAAGACAGCAAAACGCUGGGGAGGCCUCCACACAAGCGAGGAGGAGCUUCAGAGAAACAUAUGUGACGCAGCCCACAGCGGUGGCCACACAGCUCCAGCCCAGUAACCAAGGAGCCACCAGACCUGACAACACAUGCCCUGCAAGGAAGGGGACAGUAACAUGGCCACGAGCGGGGACACAGAGGUGAGGAAGAAGGAAAGCCACAGGCUGCAUUAUCCAAUGCAGACAUGACAGUUCCAGCCCACUCUGGCAUAACUCUCAGGGCAGAGGUGACAAUGACUUGGCAGCUUGGUGACAAGGUUCCUUGCAGCCCUCAUAGAUGCUGCUCCACUGGACCCUAGGGAGCCCACCUGAGGGUGGCGGAACACGCAGCUGCGUGGUGUUGCCACUGCUGAGGAGCUGAGAGACUGCUGACGAGAGCGCUCCAAGUCAAGUGCACGGUAGGAAACCCAGACACUGUGGCUUUGGAAUUACCUCGCUCAUCAGUUUGUCCCGCGCACUCUGCUCUCGAGCCCACUCUGCUUCUCUCUUUUCCCACAUCUCUUUGGCCUCUUCCCUGGACAAACACAAAAGGAACAGGAGAGGCUCUACGCCAUCACCAAAGGCUGAUGGAUGGGAGGGCACACGCAGGCGCCAAGCUUCAGGCAAGUGCAUCCACACCGGCUUUCCUAUGAUGACAGUUAAGGACAACACUUCUGUAGUAUUUUAGGUCAUCAUUUAGCACUGAGGUAAUAAAACCAACAGGCCAGAGACAGGAGAAGGCUACCGCCUGCCCCAGAGCCCAGUUACCACCCCCUUGGGAUGACUACCGGCUUACCUCAAGGCAGCAAGCAACCUCCUCGGCUCUCCAUGAGCCAUAUGCCCACCACUUGGCUGAAUGUCAGGAUCCAAUAACAGUGUCUGAACACCAGGGUAUACUGCCUAAUUAUUUGGCUAUUUCCGGGGCUGGAGAGAUGGCUCAGCGGUUAAGAGCACUGACUGCUCUUCCAGAGGUCCUGAGUUCAAUUCCCAGCACCCACAUGGUGGCUCACAACCAUCUGUAAUGGGAUCAGGUGCCCUCUUCUGGUGUGUCUGAGAACAGGGACAGUGCACUCACAUAAAUAUUUCCAUUUAUGGGUUGGGCUUUUAGGCCCUAAAGCCGGGCACAGAGGCCAGCAGUCCCAGCCCCUAGGCACUAAGGAGAUCACUGAGGAGGUAGAGACCAGCCAAGGCGUUAUGGUGGCACUAUCAUCAGGAUCUUGUCAGGAUCCAGACCCAAUUGUUACAGAGCUAAGCAGCAUUCAACAGUUCCGUUCAGAAGCAACCUCCUCACCCUGUUUUAAGACUUGACAUGAACAUGUCAUUACUGUCACUUUGAACCUUUGAACCAUGUUCCCUGGGGAUGGUGAGUUAGUUACAAGGACAGAGGUCUCAGAACAAAAGUGGCACACCCAAGAACCUGAGGGCACCUCCCAGAGCCUCCCGCCAGGACUGUCCCCUCACCUCUGUAGCCCUGAGCACCUCCCAGAGCCUCCCACCCAGACUGUCCCUCACCUCCGCAGCCCUUGAGGGCACCUCCCAGAGCCUCCAACCCAGGCUGUCCCCUCACCUCAGCAGCUGCUGCAGCUCUGCCUCCCGUGCCUUCUCCAGCUGCAGCUGCUCCUCGAUGACCUGCUUCAUCUGGGCCGCAUCGGCCAUGGCUUGCUCCCGCCUGGCCAGUUCGACUUGCUGCAGCUCAUUGUCCUUCUCCAGCAGUGCCUGCAGGAUCCGCCCAUCUGCCUCCUGGAUGCAGGGGUGGGCUGGUCAGAGCCCUGGUGCAGCAAGGUGAGCCCGCCCACCUUCCCACAUAGUCUCUUCUACCCAGCCAUGUGGGGCCUGACACAUUCUCAGGACCGAAGGGAAGGAGUUGGGCCACAGCAUCUGCUUCAGGCACUGCACAGGUCAGAAACUUGACCCCUCCUGCCACCUGUACCACCACAGGCACACGCCCCUGGACAUGCAUGACAACAGCACAGCUCAGAACACUGUAUGGUAGGAACCUGUCUAAGAAAUUACAGCAGAACUUGAACAGACACAUGCACGAACUGCUCACUGCAACUGUAAAUGUGGGAGCCCAGAAUCCCUGAACGCACACAGGCAGGGGGUGCUGGAUUAGCCGUGUCUACACAGCUCAACACGACAACAAAAGCAGGGGGAUCCGAGGUGCAGCAGAAUGGUGACAGCUCACCCCCAGCAUCCUACACUUCAUGACAGAGACACCACGCAGCUACCGAGUACGUUUGUCUUUCCCAUAAAAACGCCGUGAGCAACGCAACUGAACAGAAGGAACUGCCUCAGGGGGUGUGUGGUAAGCAAGACCAGGAGAUCUGUGCAGAAGCAGGCUGCAGACAGGAAGGACACCAAGGGAGGCAAGGAGAAGCUCGAUGUGUGCCCCCUGUGAAAUGACUGCUAGUUUAGCCAGCUAACAUCUGCAUUGCCUCCACGGUUUUUCCAUGAAGACCUAAGGGUGAGCCAGCGAGACUCAGCAGGUAGAGCCCCUGCCAUACUGACCUGAGCUGAAGGAGGAACAUCCUCCUCAGGAGCCUCCUCUGACCUCCAAGUGCACACGGGGCCACAUGCAUGCCUGCCUCCCACACUCUAGCAGUAACAUUUCAGUUUCUGUUCACCGGUUCUGAGUGUUUCAACUGAAUACAUGUGCACCUCGUGUAUACCUGGUGCCUUGGAGCACCAUGUGGGUGCUGGGAACCAAACCCAGGUCCUCUGCCAGAGCAGCAAGUGAUCUGAAGCACUGAGCUGCCCCUCCACUCCCCAGCCUGCAUUCAUUCAUUUACUUACUUAUUUUAAAUGAACACCUACACACCACGUAUGGCGGCACAUCCUUUAAACCCAGCACUUGGGAGGGAGAGGCAGAUGGAUUUCUGUGAGUUUAAGCCCAGUCUGGUCUACAUAGCAUGUUCCUAGCCAGCCAAGGGUACACAGUGAGAGCCUGUCUCAAAAAAACAGACGAAUGCAGCUGGACAGAUGGCUCGGCGGUUAAGAGCACUGACUGCUCUCCCAGAGGUCCUGAGUUCAAAUCCUAGCAACCACACGAUGGCUCACAAUCAUCUGCAAUGAGAUCUGAUGCUCUCUUCUGGUGUGUCUGCAGACAGCCACAGUAUAUAUAUAAAAUAAAUAAAUAAAUAUAUAUAUAUAUAUAUAUAUAUAUAUAUAUAUAUAUAUAUAUCUUUAAAAAAAAUGCAGCCCACCAUGGCUGCACCAAGCCCCGGCAGGCACAGACUGGUAGUGUUGUCGAGUGUGACCCACUCUCUUCUCCUCUGCACCGCCCAACACUGCUCUGGUCCCACCUGGGCUUUAUGCAAGGACGCUCGCACUCGGGUCCCGCCUGCGCAGUGGCGAUACCGUUCCCAAAGGAUGGAGAAAAGCCUGCCAGCACCACUUACUCACCAGCUCCUCCUGGAUCUGCUGGGUGCGCCUGUUGAGCUGCGCAUUGUACUGAUGUCGCAAGAUGCGCCUGCAGAGGGGAAUCAAGCCGCUUCAGUCCCGCAGAGCCAAUCAACAUCUGCUCACCGCAGGCCACACCCCCUUUGGUUCUCAGAGGCCCGCCCCCCUGGAAGAGCCCAGGCUUCCCUACACACCCUAGCUCUGUCUUGCGCCGGACGAUGGCCAUCUGCUUCCUUUCGUCGUCCAGCCUUUCCAGUUCCCAGUGCUGCUUCAGCAGGUUCUCCUGUUCCUUCUUCAGUUUGGUGGCCUGUGGUAAGACGGGGCAAGCAGACUGUCCUCGUGCACCUCUCCGUGUCGGGCAGGUACUACGUAAGCACAGGCUGGCCUAGAUGAUCAUGAUCCCCUCAUGUGUCUCAUGAGUCCCACCUCAACUAAGCCUUGCUACAAGCCUGGCCCAGCCAGAGAGACUUCCUGUGCCGGCCCUCACUAGCUAACUUAGCUUCAGUCUCUUGGGCCAGCACAGCCACCAUGGGGAAACCAGAGAUGAACAUGUCCUUGUUUGGACAAGGACACUAUCUCUACAUCCACAAUGAGUGGUGGGCACUACAUCCCUAGUUAUUAAAACAAUGGGGCGGGGAAAGGGACACAGGAGACCAAAGAAGGUCUCUCUCCAUCUGAACAGAGGACUCUGCUCUCUCAGGAAACCACAGCGUUCUCAAAGGCAGCUCACUGGACCAAGAUCCCUCAUGACUUACACACCGAAGCCCAAACUCGUUACUAGUAGAAUGCUGUGCGCUGUGUGCUAGAGCAUGUCCCACUGGAAAGACCCUGAUCUAAAAGGCCCUGACGAGGUGUGUCACCCGAGCGGACAGGUGUGUCACCCGAGCGGACAGGUGUGUCACCCGAGUGGACAGGUGUGUCCUAGACCAUAAUGUUCCAAAGUCUGAGACCCACUUGGGCAUCUCAGCAGAACCAGGAAGGGGUACACGCUUGAGAAGAGAGGACCCAGUCUGGAUCCGGCUCACAGAACCCCCACCCCUGCUAUGAUCUCCAGUCUGGUCAGGAGGGCUCCCCCUCACCUCCAUCUCCUUCUGCUUCAGCUCCUCCAUCUGCUGGCGCAGAGCCUCGCCCUGCAGCUGACCCUCUAGCUGCUUCCUCUCCUCCUCGGCUUUCAGCCUGGCCUCAGCUUCCUGGCGGGCGGCCGCAUACUCGUUCUCAAACUGCUUGUUUUCCUGCUUCUCAGUGGCUUCUUGCUAUAAGAGGGCAACACAUCAACAUGCAGCCAGCAGAGAUUCGGCUCCCUGUUGCCCUUCCGCUGAGGCAGGGCUCAGGCGAGCUCAGCCUGGAAGCCCCGAGGCUCAGCAGUGCUGGGUUCUUCCUCCCCUGAAAGAAGACACAAUGAACCUAAAAGCAUCGUGUGGACUCAACCCCAGAGGGGCCCCAAGGGCUGCAGGAGAUCAGCCAGGGUCCAGUGUUUGAGGUAGGUUUACGAUGCUGGGGCGGAGGUGGAUGGCAGGUAAGGGCUCACGCUGCUCUUCCAGAGUUCUGUUCUGGUACCCAGAUCAGGCCCCAGGCAUUCGAACUCCCCCUCUGAGUGACCUGACGCCCUCACCCAGCCUCUCAGAUACCAGCACACACAGUACACACAUACUCAGCUCCAUGGUUAAAAGCACCAACUAUGGAUGCUCUUCCAGAGGACCCGAGUUCAAUUCCCAGCACCUACAUGGCAGCUCAAAGCUGUCCAUAACUCCACUCCCAGAGGAUUCAACACCCUAUUCUGACCUCCAAAGGCGUGCUUGAAAUACACAGACAUACAUGCAGGGAAAACACCCAGGCACGGAAAAAUAAAUUUUAAAAACUUUUUCUUAAUUUAAGAAAAAGCUGUCAAAAGAACCCACGCUUGUAGCCUUAGUCUCGGGGAAGUGGAAACAGAGGGUCCCGAGGGGCCUUGGAGGUCUGCUUGGGGAAGUUGUAGACUUCUGAAAGACCUUCCCUCAAAGAGACGGCUGGGCCCUGGGAAACAUCUCUCACACACCACACACACGUGAACACACUCGUGCAGAUACCCGCACAUACACCUAACAUGUGCAUGUACACACCUAUACACACACAGGAACACGCAUAUGAGCAUGUGCAAAGCAAACACCAGUCUGCACAGGCAGGAAGCAGCUGUGCGGGCACCUGCUGCUCAUCUGGUCACGAGUGUGGGCGGAGUCACACCUCACACACCACAGCGUCACGAGUGUGGACGGAGACGCACGCAGUGUGUGAGGGUCACACAUCACACACCACAGCGUCACAAGUGGACGGAGAUGCACACAGUGUGUGAGGGUCACACAUCACACACCACAGAGUCACGAGUGUGGACGGAGACGCACGCAGUGUGUGAGGGUCACACAUUACACACCUGUUUUUUUUCUUCUUUCUGUGUUGCCCAGGAAUUUAUCACAUGCUUCUUGUGAAGGUCCAACUCAAUCUGAGGGUGAGAAAGAAAAUAUUAAUUUCCCCAAGGGCCUGCGUGAGACUGACUGAGGUGACUUACUGCGGUCGGUGCCACCUGCUGGAACCUGACCAUGACUCGCUGCCCCAACAAAAGCAGCCUGGAUGAGGGCCGGGGUAGUCACGGCCUUCACACCUAAGGUCAAUCCCUGGCACCACGCACCCAAGAACAACCCCAUAGAUGCACUUGUGACUUCCGGCUGGGACUCCCCGCCCUGCAAUCUGCUUCCGGUCUAGGGUAGUUACCAGUUUCCUUUGUUCUUCUCGGGCUGACUUCAGAUCCCUGUGCUGCUCCCGGAGUCUUCGCUCCCGCAGGCUCAUACUCAGCCUCAGUUCCUCCAGCUCUUCGGCCAGCAAGUCCUGCUCCUCCAGCAUAAGCUUCCUGAGUCUCUCCCGCCGGACCUCCAGAUUCUUCCUCCUCUCCUCCUCCAUCUUGCCACAGUAGAGGGCGUGCAUGCUAGGUCCCGCGGCGACCGCGACGCCUCGUCCUGCCCCUCGGCCCAGCCUAACCUCUGACUCCUGCGCCUGGCGCCGGAGGUUCGCGGAGAAGAGUUGCCGGCCUUAGCUCGAUCUCGCGCCCGCAGGCUCCGAGGGUCCCGCUGCGCCCGCUGCACAGACGCCAGCCGUUUCCUCGCCGGUUGCCGGGCAGCCCUCGGGACGACGGAGCACCGCGAAGGCCAAACCUCCUUCCGCGCGACACCAGCCGCUCUUCAAGAAAAAAAGGGAGUAGUGGGGAGGUUCUGGCGCGCCCUGGCGGUGGGAGGGAAACCGACAGUCAUUGUUAGUCCUUGAAGUAAGGGAGGAAGAAAGGAAAAGAAUCCUGACCCAAUCUGGAUGGUUACCUGGGGUAGGGGAGUUAGCAAGAAUGAGGUAUGGGGGUGAGUGGUUACCUAGAGAGAGGGAGGGUGGAGGAGUAGGGAUGGGAGGCAGGGGCGCGAGGGUUAGUUGAGGGGUGGAAGAGCUGGGAGGAGGACAGAAACCAAGGGAAUAGGAUAGAAGAGAAAUAAAUCCGUGUUUCUCAAACAAGGCACGUGAGAAUCAUCCCCUGGCCAGAGCGAAGAAAUAAAUGAUUUUCAAAGAUCCACGGGUGUGUCCCAUAGGCAACUGAGGCCGAGAACCGCUGGCCUCCGUAAUAACAAGUCCUUGGUAAACUACUGUAGUCUUCAGAUGGGUGGUGGGUACAAAGAUUUUAAUAGCUGUAACUCACAUGUUCAUGUACUACCUAUGCCAGUAAAAAGAGAAAAGCAGCCACGGAGGCUGUGUAUAUUUAGCAUGCUCAAAACUCUGAGUUCAAUUCCUACAAUAAUAUAAAGUAGUAUAAUAAUGUUUUAUUUUACUAAAAAAACUAAAAGAGUGCCCCCCCAAAUAAUGUAAAAAUAUAGAUAAAUAUUCCAUCAUUCAUUUUUUUCUUCCAUUUUCCCACCCACUUCUUUUCUCUCUCCUCUCCAUUCCGUUGUUUCUCAUGGAGCCAACGACCAGGUUCAAACCUGCAGCGUGCCGGCUGUGGCCAUCCUAGUCGCCCUCUGACCCUAGGGCUGCCCUCUGCCUGCUUCAUUGGGGAGGAGGUGGCGCCCCCAUCUGUCGUGAUUAAGCCAGCAAGGGCCAUCACGCUAUUGAAGGAGCCCAACACUCAUCUGUUGACAGAACUUUCAGCCUGCUGGAAACCUCGGCAUACUUGAGUUAGAUCCAGAGAUGCUUGGGGUUCACUCCUGGUUUGUUUUGGGCAAGCCUGCUCCCUUCUGGGCCUCAGUUUCUUCUGCAGUAGAAUUGCUGCUCCUAACUUCCGGACCUCCUCCCGACCUCCUCCCGAGUUUCCUCCUCCUCCUUUGGAAGAGGGUCUUGCUGUACAACCCAAGCUAGAAGUCAGUGUGGAGUUCACCCUGGGGCUCAUCCUGCCUCUGCCUCCCAAGGUCUGGGCCUACAGGCAUAUGCCUCACACUCAGCUUGUCCCCGGGCCUCACACUGGCUAACACAAUUUCACUGGCCACUGCAGCUCCAGUUGCAGCUGCAGCUAAGAGGCUGCCUCUCGUACCUUGUUAGCAUACGUGUGGCGUAUCUGUUCCACUGGGAAAUUGGGAGAGAGAGUUAGGCUCCAGUGAACCUCACACAAGUGUUCUCAUUUGUACCAGGAACCACGACUGACGAGUGUGAAGCUGGAAUUUGAACCAAGCUCUGUGGACUCGGGGCCAGAGCCCAAGUCCUCCCUAUCCUGAUGCCCCUUCCCUGCUGUGGCAAAAGCUGGGUUUGGCACUUAUGGGUUUCAGGCUAGCCUGGGCUAUACAAUAAGUCUCAAAAAACAAAAAACAAAAAACAAAAGCAAACAAACCAGGGGCAGGAAAUGUCUAAUAACGAGUUCAAAUACCUGGAACAGGAAGGAAGGAAGGAAGGAGGGAGAGAGGGAAGGAAGGAAGGAAAGAAAUAAGAAAAUAAGAAAGGAAGGAGGCCAGAUGUGGUAUCACACAUCUGUAAACCUGACUCUUCUGUGGCAAGAUUGAAGGUAGAGAUAGCUCGCAGACCAGGUAAGACAAAGUGUACACUUCAGCAGGUAGAGCCAGAGAAACCCUGCCUCAAACAAGAUGGAAACUUCAGAACCAGCUCCUGAGAGUUGUCCUCGGCUUCUCACUCGAGUGCGCACACGCGAGAGCGCGCACGCACACACACACACACACACACACUCUGUGGCCUGCACACGUGUGCAAAUGCAAAACAGAUUGACUUUAUAAGGAGGUCCAGCAACAUAAAAUAUUUAUGUUUAACAUUUUAAUGCUUAAAAUUUAGGCCAAUGGGGGAGUGAUGAGGGAAGCCUAGCAAGGAGGCAGGGUGGGGAGAGGGUGGCUUGCACCUGUGGGUGUCCUGGCACAGGAGGAGGCUGGCGCAGACCGGGAAGUGCUCUCCUUGAGCUCAACUGUAGCAAUCCCAGAGGUAGGCACUGCCCUCAAUCGGCAGGUGGUCGCCAGGGCACCCUUACCUGCACGUGGCUUUCUCAGCAUCUCAGUAUCCAUUGCCCUGGCUUCGCUGGUGUCUUUGGGCUAAGCCGAUGCCCCUCCGUGACGACAAAGCCCAGCUUUGUGACAGGCAACGCUGCAAUAAGUGUUCAGGAGAGAACAAAACAAAACACUGUCUAGGGUGUUUGCUGACGACAGCAGUAGCUCUGGGGGGCAGCUUUCAAUCCCGCCUUCCGGUCUGUCUCUGGGGUUUGUACAAUGCUUGCUGCUGUUGCUGAGGGAUGGAACAGCGAUCCGUCCCAGGCUACACAGUUGCAUCGCUGUGUGAGGUACAGGUGCUUGCCACAGAAGCACUUGGGGAGCCUUUAAAACACCUGAUGCUGUGCCAGGAGCAGCAUCGCAUACCUGUAACUGGCACCCAGGAGGCUGAGGCAGGAGGAUCAUGAUUUCUAGGUCAGCCUGGAUUGUACACUAAAACCCUGUCAGAGACAGACAGGCAGGCAGAGAGACAGACAAACAGACAGGAGACCCAGUCCCCCUCCAAAAGAGGUGCUGAUUUAUUUAUUUUACUGAUAUAGAUGGGGCCUGUGCCUUCUGUUUUGGUUUUUCUCAUGGUCCUGGGAAUUGAGCUAGGGGCCUUGAAGGUAGCUUCCUUCCCAGGGUGAUGGGUUUGCUCUCAAGUCUGAGGUCUUGUUGUCUAAUCUACUCUCAAGCAAUCCUCCUUUCUACACGUACCUGAGACCAAGGUGCCACCACACCACCUUGGUCCUCUUUAUUUAUAUUGGGGCUGGGUGUGAGACAUGUAUGUAGCUCUGGCACUCCUAGAACUCACUGUGUAGACCAGACUGGCCUGGAACUCACAGAGACCUGCCUGCCUUUCUGUCUCUGCCUUUGCUUCUGCCUCCUGAGCAUUGGGAUUAUAGACGUGCCCUGUUAACAGUGUGCCUGGUUUGGUCUUUAUUUUAAAUAACUUUAAGGGAUAGAGAGAUGGCUCAGCAGUUAAGAGCAUCCUACUCUUGUGGAGGACCCAAGUUUGGUUCCUACUACCAUCAGGUGACUGACAAUGGCAGGUAACUCCAGUUCCAGGGGAUCCAGCGCCCUCUUCUGGCCUCCAAAGUUACUGCAUGCAUGUGGAUAGACACACAGACACAUGCAAAUGCACAUAAUUUUUUAAAAAUAACCUUUUCAGAAUAGCUUCAAAUUUACAGGAAAAUCACAAAGAUAAUGCAUCCUUUCUGCAGCCUCUGUCCCCAUUAUUAACAUUUUCUGAGCAUCCCAUGCUCUAUAAGACAGAAGUCCACCAUGAUCCUACAGAGUCAAGGUCUCUCUGCAGGGCUGUGUUCCUUACUGGAAGCUAAGGGAGAUAAAGGUUUCUGCUUUUCUGCCUCCUCUCUGUCUCAGGAUAUGGCCCCUUUUCCUACAGCGGCAGGAACGUCCUGCGGUUCCUCCUCUGGUCAUCCCUUCCUCUGAGCACGCUUCUGGACACAUCUUUGUUUAUAUCCUGCCAGGCUAGCAGCCCUGGAGGAUGUUUCCUCAGCUUCAGGACCACACCUGGGUGCCUCUCCCCGAGCUCCCCUUUCCAGCUUUCUAGGACCACCCUCAAAGUCCCUUUAACCUAGUCACACCUGCCAAAUCCCUUUGACCACAUUGUCACCAGUUGUGGGCAUCAGGAGGGACCUCCCUUGGGAGGCUUCUGUCUGCCUACCACAGAGCAACUGUUCCUAGUUUGUGUGGUUGCUUUCACCCCUCCGUGGCCCCUCGAAACGCCUGGCAGGAAGGACAGUUCUCACUCCAACCCACGUGGGCUUGCUGUGUGUCACAGCCCUCACUCACCCCUCUCCGUGUAGGGUGCAUUCUGCAGAAAACCCCAACGUAGGAGCCUGUUCUUGGUGCCCUUCUUCAGACGUGUGGCCAGGACGGCACAAAACCAGUUAAACUCAUCUAAACUCGUUCUAUGUGUGUACAACAAGAGGCUACCUGUGGAAUGCCGUUCCAGACUCUUCUAUUCAUGCAGGAACCUUCUAUUUGGCACCUCAGGUAGCACUACCUGCUUCCGUCUGCUGGAAUACAUUUUUUUAAAAAGACUUAUUUAUUUAUUCUAUAUAAGUACACUGUCACUGUCUUCAGACUCACCAGAAGAGGGCAUUGGAUCCCAUUACAGAUGGUUGUGAGCCACCAUGUGGUUGCUGGGAAUUAGAACUCAGGACCUCCGGAAGAGCAGUCAGUGCUCUUAACCUCUGAGCCAUCUCUCCAGCCCUGCUGGAAUACAUUUGUCUGAUGGGACGCCACUAGCAGUUUUUGCUGCCUGUAUUAUCUUUAGAACCCAGCUUGUUGUGGGGGAAAAGAGUCUCGGUGGACUCCCAAGAAUGUCUUAUGCUGGGCUUCAGUUCUCUGGGUAUAAAUGGCAGAUAAAACAGUACUCGCUUACUAAUUGCUAUCUGUACACAAUGCCGGGGACAUGGUCAGCACGUGUGUGUGACAAUCGUCAGUUUACUGCAGAUCACCUGUUAACGGAGAAGCUGGGGAACUCACUGGGCUGCCUGGGCAAUGUUUCUUCAUUCAGGUUCCCUGGCCCGCUGUGCCCUCGAAGGGUUGAUGUAAAUCCCUAUUCCUCCAAGCCAACUGUGUCACACCUCCACCCCUUGUGAAUGACGGGACGGGUGUGGGCUUUAGGCACGGUUCUAUUCAGUGGCAUGUGGGGACAUCUGCUGGGGAGAUGGUGACUUUGGGUGUGGUUACAUGGGCAGAGCCCCACGGUACUACAGUAGUAUGAUAUAUGCAUUAUAUAUAUAUCAAUAUAUAUAUAUUUCAUUUAUAUCACAUCUAUGAAAUGCCAGGACCUGCCCAGCAUCAUUCAGGUAACUGAGGAAAGCCGAGAGGUAUGGCUUCAGCGACAGAGGUUGAUGCUAACAGCAGCCGAUGAGAGGGCAGGGGCAGCCGAUGAGACUGGCUACAGGGUCAGCACUGCUAAUGAACAAUACAUACUUGUCUGGGGCUGGCAAGAAUGCCUGGCGAGAAUCUCUGAACUCUUUUAAUUCUUAAGAGAACAUUCUUAAGGAAGAAAAGGAUACAGGUCAGAUGAGAGUCAUGAGGCAUCUGCCAUUGUUGGCGAGCUCCCCUUGAAAGGGACAAAAGUUAUUCAGAGGGUAACUGAACAUUAGGCUGCCCACCAGAAGGACACCCUAUAAUUGUGUGCAUGACCCUGGUGACACUGCUGUAGUACACCAGACAAAGUACACACACACAUAUGGUACUAUUACCAAAAUGCAUACACAUGCACACACACAUACCACUCCCAAAUGUACACACAUGCACACACCACUCCCAAAUGCACACACAUGCACACACCACUCCCAAAUGCAUGCACACCUGCAUGCACGCACGCAUGCACAAAUAUGACUCCACUGUGCAAAUGACCAAACACAUUAUUUCCCUCUAGGAGAUGAGAAACUUUCAAAUAUUUGGCUGCCGCGUGCCGCCUUGCCUCUCAGGAUGGCAGCAAACAGGCCUACUGGCUCCUGUCAACUUGGCAUCGUCAGGGAGAGGUGGCAGACAGCCCUGUGGAACAGAAAGGCAGUUGGCACAGCGGCUCUUCAUACUAAGAGGAGUUGGCUCAACAAAGCCCACUGGGUACACUUAAUCCUGCUGAAAACCUGGCAGGGGAGAGACACAGUCACCAGGAUCAGGUCCCCAGCAGUAGCCAGUCUGUACUCAAGUAUUUGAUUUAUAACUGUGUCACUCACAGGCAGCCUGCCCGCUAGUGUGCCAGCGGCCAGAUUCUCACCAACCCAUGAAACCCCACAUCAGCCCUGCAUGGAGGACACCUCUGUGACACCUCGUGUGACACGUGAGACCAGCGAGGCUAUGGUAGAGAAGUGUGGUAGACUUGACUGUCGGCUCCUAACCCUUGAGACCUCAAAAUACUGCCUCGUUUCUGAGAACGAGUUAUCUGCGUUGCUCUUCUCAUUGGAGUGACAGCGUACCUGACAAAAGCCACUACUCAUGGUUUAGGGACACACCAUUAGAGCAAGGACUUUAUGGCAGGAGGAGUUUGAGGGCUACUGGGCCCUUAGGCAGAGAGAUGAGUGCUUUGUGUCUUAGUCAGGUUGUGUAUUUCUGCACAAACAUGACCAAGAAGCAAGUUGGGGAGGAAAGGGUUUAUUCAGCUCACACUUCCACAUUGCUGUUCAUCACCAAAGGAAGUCAGGACUGGAACUCAAGCAGGUCAGGAAGCAGGAGCUGAUGCAGAGGCCAUGGAGGGGUGCUGCUUACUGGUUUGCUCCCCAAGGCUUGCUCAGCCUGCUUUCUUACAGAACCCAGGACCUCCAGCCUAGGGGAUGGCUCCACCCACAGUGGGCUGGGUCCUCCUACCCUUCAUCACUAAUUGAGAAAAUGCCUUACAGCUGGGUCUCAUGGAGGCAUUUCCUCAAGGGAGGCUCCUCUCUCUGUGAUAACUCCAGCUUAGGUCAAGUUGACGCACAGGGCCAGUCAGUAUUCAGCUUGGCUUGUCCAGUUGAUUCAGCCUAGGACCCUAGUCCGGGGAACGGUACCCACAGUCAGGGAGGGUUAGUUAACCCAAUCUGAAAGCAUCCUCACAGACAGACCCAGACGUUUGUUUUCAUCCUGAUCCUAAAUUCCAUCGUGUUGACAUUAAGUAUCACAAGGUCCUCCAGGAUCCUGAGGCAGGAGAUUACCUGGAGUAUCUAGGUGGGCUGGCUGGUACAAUUUCAGUAUGGACUGUCCUCCACAGGCCCAUACAUUACAGGUUUGGAGUCCGGCAUGGUGAACAUACUCUCAGCAUUCAGAAGACUGAGGCAGGAGGAUUUCACAUUCCAAACCGACCUGGGCUAGAGGUGACGUAUUCGUAUUGAGAUUGUCUCUCAAACCAAAUUCCGGUCCCCAGCCAAAGGCACUGUUGACAGUUGACAAAAUCUGCAAGGUGUGGACCCUAAGGGGAGCCUAGGGCUGGUCUUCUGGUCACCGGUGGGUGCGGGUGUGUGGAAUUGAUAAGGAACUUGGGUCCUUAGACCAGUUUUCUCUUUGACUUUUACUUCCUAGCUAUGCAGUGAGCCCUGAGAUUCCUGACUCCUGCCAUGGGGUGCCCAUUCUUCCCCCUGCCAUUGUGAUAAAAUAUGCCAGCAAAAACGCAAAUUAGAGGGGAAAGGGUUUAUUUUUGCUUGCAAUUCCAGUCAUAGUCCACCACACCAGAGGUGGCAGGAACUUACAACAGCUACUCACAUGACGUACACAGACAAGAGCAGGGAGAUAAUCACAUGCUUAUUACUUAGCUCAGUUUCCCCAGACCCAGGGAAUGGUGCCGCCCACGGUGGACAUGUCUUCCCACGUCAAUGUAAUCAAGACAAUCCCUACAGACCAACCUGAUCUAGACAAUGCCUUGUUGAGAUUCUCUUCCUAGUGAUUCUAGAGUUUGUCAAGUUUACAAUGAAAACUAGAGUCGAGGAAGAAGGCUUGACUGGUAAAAUAGAAAGAAAAAAAAAAAACCUCAAAAGGACCUGAGUUCAAUCCCCAGGACCCACAUGAUAGAAGACCUGACUUCUACAAGUUGUCCUCUGACCUCCAAACCCUCUACAAAUAAGUAAUUAUCAGAGGCAUUCUGUUGUGGAAAGAGAAGGCGGAGUAAUGAAGGCACCGUCACAAACGUCCUUGCGUCCUUGCAAGAGAAAAAUCAACAGAGACUUCUGUGUUCAUCGGAGGGGACAGGUGCAGACAGACGCAGAGAUUGGAGCAGUGCAGACAGAAGCCACGGGACACUUGGCGCCAGCAGAAGCCGGGAGGGGUAGGAUGGGAUUCUCUGAACCUUCUGAUGUGGGGGGAAUGGGCUAGCCCACCUUGAUUUGGGCCCAGUGAUACUGACCUUGGCUGUCUGGCUGUCAGAGCUGUGAGCUAACUCACUUCAGUGUUUAGUCACCAAGACAUCUGUGACAGCAACUAUCAGAAACACAGAAAACGGCUCCCCCAAGACCACACAGCCACGUUGGAGUAAAUACGGUGUUGGGUUGUGUACGUAGCAGGUGUUCAAUAAAGGCUAGCUAUCAUCAUCACCAUAA